AUUGAACGCUGGCGGCAUGCCUUACACAUGCAAGUCGAACGGUAACAGGUCUUCGGAUGCUGACGAGUGGCGAACGGGUGAGUAAUACAUCGGAACGUGCCUAGUAGUGGGGGAUAACUACUCGAAAGAGUGGCUAAUACCGCAUGAGAUCUACGGAUGAAAGCAGGGGAUCGCAAGACCUUGUGCUACUAGAGCGGCCGAUGGCAGAUUAGGGAGUUGGUGGGAUAAAAGCUUACCAAGCCGACGAUCUGUAGCUGGUCUGAGAGGACGAACAGCCACACUGGGACUGAGACACGCCCCAGACUCCGACGGGAGGCAGCAGUGGGGAAUUUUGGACAAUGGGCGCAAGCCUGAUCCAGCAAUGCCGCGUGCAGGAUGAAGGCCUUCGGGUUGUAAACUGCUUUUGUACGGAACGAAAAGCCCUGGGUUAAUACCCUGGGGUCAUGACGGUACCGUAAGAAUAAGCACCGGCUAACUACGUGCCAGCCGCCGCCGUAA
rnacentral:rRNA from 1 species